UUUCCUGCAUGCCUAAGGCACAAGUAUCAAAAUGUUGCUGGUAAAUCAUCUCAGGUGGACUUUAAUCUGCAGAUAGACACCACAGGUGGAACAAGGCAGCUCCUGCCUGCAGAGCAGGAGGCCUUUCUGUUGUUCCUGUAAUGCAGCUGUGAGCUCUAAUAAGCUCAGAGUAAAACCCGCCUCCCAGGUUCAGGGGUUCAGGUUUAUCAGUGGUGAAAGUGGCUUACUAGCUGCUUCCUAUCUCCUUGCUUCUGUGUGGUGGAGCUGAACUGGAGCUGCCCAGCCUGUUAUAGAAUCCAUAGGCAUCAAGGCAAAGUGGAAUCCUUGUGGCUCAGGCACAUCAUUUUCUAUAAUUAAGUCACAAUGGACUUUUGGAGAGCUCUGCUGAAUGAUUGAGAGCCUGUGCACAGCUGGGCCUACUAACAAACUCUGCGCUAGUCUAAGCGAAACUGUAAAACCAGUGGACAUCCAGGAAAUCCAUUCUGUGCACAGCUCAUUUUCCCUCCUGAAGCUGAUGGAGUACGUGCCACCCAGGUACCUCCCCAGCAGAUGAUGUAGCAGUGCACAACAAAGACUUCACACCACUGAGUGGAAAUGGAACUCUUGCAAUAUAAUCUGAUCACUUCCUAUGGACAAUCCAUAUAUGGAGCAGGCUGAAAGGGCCUCUGAGCACCCUGAUAUAUCUGUAGGUGUCUGCAUUCAUUGCAGGGGACUUAGACUAAAUGGUCUUUUAAGAUCUCUUGUAACUCAAAUGAUUCUGUGAAUGUGAGAUUUGGCCCUAAUUUUCGAAGGUCACAUUCCUAUCUUGCUUUGUAAAGAUCAAUUCCACAUUGUCCCUCACUACCUGAAAUCUUCAACGAGAAAUUCUAUAAUGCUUAUUUUAAAAUUAAUCUCCUGGCCAUCCUUUAGAUUGACAUCUUUAUAUUUGUGCUGUAGGAUGGUUUGAAACUGGGUUAUUUCCUUUUGCACUCUGGAAUCAAUUAAGGAAAAAAAAAAAAACCCACACACAAAACUGAUUAAUAUUCCAGGCCAUCCAUUCUUAUAGUUUCAAAAACCCUUUGCACACAAAUUCAUGCUUGGUGUGUCCCAGGAAGCGUUUUGUUCUGCUUGCUGGAGGCCUUAUGUGUAGAUCAUAUUUCUCUCCCAAAGCAAAGUAUGAUUUUAUUUUUCUUAGGCAUUGUUAAGGAGUAUUUAUUGUUCUCCUGGAGAAAAGGGGGAAUUUAAAGAGAGUAUCCUGGAAAAAACUCUAUCGUUAAACUAAAGCUGUUGUGCAUUACAAUGAAAUGCUGUACCUGUGAAAGUAUGUGACAUUCAAUAUCCAGCAAAUUCAUUGUUAUUACUGUACAUUGAAUGUCAGAUGAAUUCAUAACGGUGGUAUAUUGAAGGUAAGAUAUUAUCCCAGAUUCAAACAAUGUGGUUCUACUGACAACUCACGCUAGCCUUCAGGGCAGCGGAUGGCACUUUCAGAGCUCGUUGGAAAGGAUUUUUUAGUGCUCCUGUUACCUCACUUAUAAAAACAAAUGGCAUAGGAAUGGAAGGGUGAUCCAAAGCCGCAUGAGGUCAGUGUGGGUUUUUCCUUUGACAUCAAUGGGCUGAGGAUCGAGUCCGCAGGGUGGAGAGGGGAGGAAGGAAGGAAACAAUGUUAGAAGAGAAAUCAGUGAAGAAAAACUCUCCAUUACACUUCCCUUGGGUAUUUUUUCGUAAUAGCUUUCCGGCUGGAUUUAGCACUCUGCCGAGUGGAGAGAAAAACACAACAGCAGCUUGCUACUGCAGGAAAAGGGCAGAAUGAAGUUAAAAACAAUUCCUUAGCACUAUUAGAUUGGUUUAAUGCAAUCUCUGUUUCCUUUUAUUUGCUUAUGCCCGUGAAGAUGGAAAUGGUCAGGCCACUGGGAAGGGGAUAACGUGGUGGUGUGUAUGGGCAGAGCCCCACUAGAGCAGCUACACCCAUGGGAAGGACCAUAUCUGCAGCACCUCCACAGUGACAAGAGAGGAAUGUAAUAUGUACAGAGUACGUGGCAGGGGCUGUGCAAGGCAUUAGCUCUGAGAGUGAAACAGUUUAGAAUAAAGCCUAUUUCUUUUUUUCA
rnacentral:lncRNA from 1 species